UACCUAUGGUGAGGGCAAGCAUUAAGCAAAUCCUUGAAUCUCUCCCAACAUUGGUAAAAAGUUUUAGUUUCUUUUUGAACAAAAUUCAUGAUUUGUCUUUUUAAUACA